rnacentral:lncRNA from 1 species
UUUUUUUUUUUUUUUUUUUUUGAUCACGCCCAUGGUGCCCCUCCCCCACCACUCCUGUCCAGAUGAGAAGGAUCUGGACUUGUCCUCAUCCACGCUGGAAGACACUUCUGAACAAACUUCGACUUCUAUUGCUCAUCUUUCUCUUUGUACUCGUGAGCCAAGAAGACCCAGGUAGCAUUUGGGCUACACAUAUAAAAAUUAUGUGCCUUUCUAUAUGUAUCUUUUUCAUAAAGCCCCACCUUUACAUGAUAAGGUCUUUUACUUUGGAUAAAAACCAGUGCAGGUAUUCCCACUUGGCAGAGUGAGUAGGUUCCGGCCAUGAGUGGCAGGGCGGGCACACCUCCUCGAGGAUCAAAUUUUGGCUCUGUUCGUCCUGCAUACACCUUCUGUAGAUUGAGAUGCUAUAUUGCCCCUCCCUAGGGGAGCAAGCCUACGGCUAAGUAAACCAUUGUUACUGAUCUAAGUAUGUUUUGAACCGGGAAACCUAGGCUGAGAACCAUGGCUAUGAUUUUUUAUUAAGUGCUUCUUUUUUGACAUUGAUUUUAAGCUUAGGUGUGUAUUUCUGAGCAACGGUAACUAUUAUGGUACAAGUUGGUCCCCAGAUUUGUUACGGUUUUUCAUGCCUUUUAAGUCCUACCACUGACCUAGACCUUAUCCUACACCCCAGGCAAUCUGCUCACCUCAAACUUCUCACAGUUCCUCCACGCAAACCAUGCCUCCCUUUUUGCUGCUUUUCUUGUGCUGUUUUUACUCCCUGGAAUGCUCGUGUUGGGUUCCCUGGCAGACGAGCUCCUCCUCAGCUUUCAGGGUCCCACUCACCUAUAAGCCCUCCUGGAAGACUUCCCUGCCGCCACCUCACUCCUGCCUAUAGCACCAGCCACAGCCUCCAGGGGCUUCUGACAUGUGGCUUUCCACGCAGAAGAUGCUGGCUUGCUGUUCUCUUCGCUCCUCUGCAUGCUGAGCUCAUCAGUGAAGACUCUGCUCUUUGUCCAUGUGCUCUGGGUGAGUGGGAUCAAGUCUGGCAGCAUAUUAAAGAAAAGCACACACACACAAAAAAAACAGGCAUAGUGUUUGAAACCAGUUAAACAGGGGAAGUUUUGAUGAAAUUUCAUGUGUCACCUUAACACGGGAUGCCCAGAUAUUUGCUUCAGCAUGACUCUGGGUGUGUUUAUGAGGGUGUUUGUGCAUGAAAUUAAUACUUGAAUCAUUCGAUUGAGUGACCCAGAUUGCCCUCCCUGAUUCGGGUGGGCCUCGGUCUAGGGCCUCAAUGGAACAAAAGUCAGGGUAAGGGAGAAUUCACUCUCUCUGCAUGACCUGAGCCAAGACAUCUGUCUUCUCUACUCAGACGGCAACUCUACCACUGGCUCUCCUGGGUCUCCAGCCUGCAGUCACGGGACUUAGCCUCCAUAAUCACAUAAGCCAAUUUCUUAGAAUAAAUCAAUCUCUGUAUAUAAAUACACAAACAGAUAUAGAUGCAGAUAUAGAUGUAAAUAUAGAUACAGAUAUAGAUAUAGAUAUAGAUAUAGAUCUCCUUUUGGUUCUGUGUCUCUGGACUUCAGACUGUAUCCAGACUGUGGCCUCUCUCAGUCACCAGAGCUCCAACUCCACCAUCUUAGCAUGAGCCUCCUGGUCCAUGAUGGCUAUGGAGUCGUAGCCGUCACGUUUGUGUUGCAGGCAGCCAGAACGAGGACGGGGCAAGACAGUUCAUUCAUACAAUGGAAGCCUGUGCAUUGCCCCUUCCCUUUAAGAAAAAUUCUCAGAACCCCUCAUGAUCCUCCAUUUACAUGACCAAACCUCACUACCAAAGGGACAAGGAGAUGGAGAUGUUUGGCCAAGCAGCAACAUGCACUAAAACACCCUAUUACCAAAGAAGAUGGGAAGAACAGCUCAUGGGGGCUAUUAGAGGCCUCAGCCAUAUGCUGGCACAAUCAGAUGCUCACAGGACCUCUCCUAUAUGUAUUAAAGGGGGUCAGUCAUCACCGAAGGCUUAUGGUGCCGGGUCUUGUGACAAGCGGAGUGUUGUAGGUCUGAGAACGUUUCUAGGUAGUUUAAAAGCCUUUCUCUCAGUAUUUCCUUCCUCCUCCUAGAUACUCAGGCAGGCUCAUUUCAAAAUAUCAACUCUCCUAAGUUAAUCUAAAAAUGUAAUGUUAGCCCAAUUAAAAUGUUAACAGAGUCUUUUAGGGAAAUUGAUUAUAAAGUUUAUAUUGAAAUAGAAACAAGCUAUUGUAGUAAAAAAAUUGAAUAGAAAUCUGAAUUGAAAGCAGGGGAAUGUAGGGUUUGAUAAAAGGGUUUUCAAAUCAAGAAGAGUGCUCCUUCUAAAAAUGUCGUUAGGAGUUCCCUGGUGGCUCAGCUGGUUAAGGAUCUGAUGUUGCCACUGCAUUGGCUCUGGUUAUUGCUGUGGUGUGGGUUCAGUCCCUGGCCAGAGAACUUCUGCAUACUGUGGGUGCAAACAGAAAAAGAGAAAAAAAGUCAUUAGACCACUGGAUAGCUACCUGGAGAAAAAGUUGGAUUCCCCUCUAAGCUUAUCUUAGAAUAAAGUCCCAAUAGACCAAAUAUUUACAUGUAGUAAAUAAAAUCUCAAACUUGAAAUUUUUUACAAACUUGGAGUGAAGAAGACCUAAGUAUGACUCAAAACCCAAAGCCAUAGAUGAGCAAAUGAAUAAAUUUAACUCUAAUGCAAUAAGAACAAAAACAAUUUUGCGGGGUUUUUAAAAAAUGCAAAUAACAUCAAAAGUAAAAAUGCAGAUAUAGAAAAGCAUUUUCAACUCAUAUCUUUAAUCUAGACAGCGUUCCCAGAAAUCAAUAAGAAAGAGAUUAACAACCCAACAGAAAAAAAGGCAAAGAACAUGGAGAGACAAUUCACAGAAGAGGAAAUAUAAAUGGUCCUUAAACAGAGGAAAAGAUGUUUAACCUCACUCAUAAUAAGAUCAGUGCAAAUUGAAACUGAGAUACUAAAUCAAAAAAUGAGAGAGCAUUCUAUGUUGGCAAGGAUGUGGGAAAUAGACACCCAUGCAUUGCUGAACAGCAGUAUAAGUUGAUAAAAUGUCUGCAAAGGAAUCUGGCAAUAUUUGUCAAAAAUUUAAAGCAUAUAUCUUUCGAUUCACAUAUUCCUCUUAUCCUAAAGAUACACAUCUUUGCAUGUAAACUUCUACAUGUACGAAAAUUCAUUACGGUCUGGCUUGUAAUAAGAAAAGAUUAGAAGCUGCCCCGUAUCCAUUAACAAGAGAUUGGUUAAAUGAACCAUAGUUCAUUCAUACAAUGGAAGCCUGUGCAUUCUGUAAAAAGAUGUAGAAGGAUUUUUGGAGCACUGUUACAGAACAAUUACUGGGAUAUAUUUAGUAGUGUGUACAUAUGUACUCCAUAUAUAAAAUAGACUGGUAUUAGAGACCUACCAUACAGCACAGAUAAAUUUACUCAAUACUGUGUAAUAACCUAUGUGGGAAGAGAAUCCAAAAAGGAACAGAUCUAUGUAUAUGUAUAACUGAUUUACUUUGCCAUAUGACUGAAAUUAGCACAACUUUGCAAGUCAACUAUAUUCCAAUAAAAUAAAGAUAAAAUAUUAAGAAAUAAAGAUCAAAAAAGAUGUUUAAGUCAAAAAAAAGCAUGAAAAUCAUGGUUCCAAAGAAUGUACAUACUGUUACAAUUGGUGGAGGAAAAAAAAGAACAUAUGUAUUUACACUGACUCUGCAUAAAAUACCAAGAAACAGGAAGUAGGUACCUGGACAGGGAGGCUUAGGGUAGCAGAGGGACAACAGUGAGAGGAAGACUGCUUCACUCGACACACUUUUAUCUUUUAAAUUUGUAUUUAAAUUUAUAUGUUACCUAUUCAAAAAUAACAUUUAAAGAAAUGAAGCAGCUGGGUUUCGAUUGAGAGAAACUAAAUCCUAACACAGCAGAGAACUGUUGAAGGCAUGAGAAACACGUAUCAACUGAAAGACACCACCCUGGACUAAAAAGAGAAUUUAGUAUGUGGAGAAAGCCCCCAAAGUCAGUUACUUCAAGAAAUAGUGGGACGGCACAUGCAAAAGAGUGAGGUUUGAUCCUGACUUCAGCUGUAUCCAAAAAUAAUUCGAAAGGGAUGAAAGACCUGUAGGUAAGAGCCAAAACUUUCUUCUCUUAAAAGAAAACACAAAGUAAAUCCUCAUGACCCUGGAUAAGGCAAUGGUUUCUUAGAUAUGACACCAAAAGCACGAGCUACUGAAGAAAAAAAAUAAUUAUUAGACAUCAUUUGAUGAUGAUUAGACUUCAUCAAGUUGAAAAACUUUUGUCCUUCAAAGCAUAGCAUCAAGAAAGUUAAAAGACAACCUAUAGGGAGUUCCCAUCGUGGCGCAGUGGUUAACGAAUCCGACUAGGAACCAUGAGGUUGCGGGUUCGGUCCCUGCCCUUGCUCAGUGGGUUGACGAUCCCGCAUUGCUGUGAGCUGUGGUGUAGGUUGCAGACGCAGCUCAGAUCCUGUGUUGCUGUGGCUCUGGUGUAGGCCGGUGGCUACAGCUCCGAUUCGACCCCUAGCCUGGGAACCUCCAUAUGCCGCGGGAGCGGCCCAAAGAAAUAGCAAAAAGACUAAAAAAUAAAAAAUAAAAAAAUAAAAGACAACCUAUAGAAAUGGGAGGGGAAAAAACUUUUAAUCAUAUAACUGUGAAAGAACUUGUAUCUAGACUACAUAUAGAAUUCUUAAUAAAAUAUUUCCUUCAAUAAUAAAAAAACAAAUAACAUAUAGAAUUCUUAAUAAAAUAUUUCCUUCAAUAAUAAAAAAACAAAUAACAUAUAGAAUUCUUAAUAAAAUAUUUCCUUCAAUAAUAAAAAAACAAAUAACCAAAUUUUAAAAUGGACAGAGGAUCUGAGCAGACAUUUCUCUAAAAAAGAUGUGCAAAUGGCCGACACAAGCACAUCAUAGGUGUGGAGCAUCAUAGGCCAUCAGGGAAAAGGCAGUCAGAAGCAGGCUGAGAAAUCAUUCACGUGCAUUAGGAUGGCUAUUAUCACAAAGUCAACGAUUGUUCAUGAGGAUAUAGAGAAAUCAGAACCCUUAUCCUCUGUUGGUAGGAAUGUAAACUGGUGCAGCUGCUUUGGAAAAUAGUCUGACAGUUCCUUAAAAAGUAAAACAUAGAAUCACGUGAAAUUCCGCUCCUGAGAGAUAUGAAGACAUAUGUUGACACAAAAAGCUGCAUGCAAAUAUUCGUAGCAUUUAUUUAUAAAGGCCAAAAGUUGAAAACAAACCUAAAUGCCCAUUAGCUGAUGAGUGGAUAAACAAAAUGUGGUAUAUCCAUAAAUGAAAUAUCGUUCGGCCAUAAAAAGGCAUGAAAUACUGAUACAUGCUACAACAUGGAAGAACCUUGAAAACAUUAUGCUAUGUGAAGUAAGCCAAUUUUAAAAUACACUUUAUAAAAUGCCCAUGUGUAGGAAAUGUCCAAACAAGAAAAUAGAGAGAGAUAGAAAGUAGGCUGGUGGUUGCAUCAGGCCAGGAGUGUGGGUGAAAGGUUGAGGGGGUGACAGAGAAUGAGGUAUUUCUGGAUAUGAUGAAAAUAUCCUGUAACUGAUUGUGGUAAUGUCUAUACAAGCCAGUGACUAUACUGAAAAACCGCUGAGUUGUAUAAUUUAUUUGAGAGAAUUGUAUGACAAGUAAAUUAUAUAUCUAUAAAACCAUCACCCCCAAAAAAGUUCCUCCUCCCUCCAAGCUAUUUGAACAUCUUUAAAAAAGAAUGAGAUACUAUAUACAUACAUAUCUCCAUAGGUGCUGGUUUUUUAAAGAUGUCACAUCAUAUACAUAUGAACAAUUGCAUGGUGUGUGUAUACACAUUGGCAUAGGUAAAAAUAUGUCAGGAAUCUUGCCCAGGGUUACCUGAGAAUAAGGCCAAAAGUAAGAGAGAAACCACCCCCUUCUAAUUAUUUAUUUAUUUAUUUAUUUAUUUAUUUAUUUAUUUAUUUAUUUAUUUUUGUCUUUUUAGGGCUGCACUCGUGGCAUAUGGAGGUUUCCGGGCCAGGGGCUGAAUCUGAGCUGUAGCUGCCAGCCUACACCACAGUCAUAGCAACAGCAGAUAUGAGCCGCGUCUGUGACCUACACCACAGGUCACAGCAACACCAGAUCCUUAACCCACAGAGCAAGGUCAGGGAUCAAACCUGUAUUCUCAUGGAUGCUAGUCAGAUUUAUUUCCACUGAGCCACGAUGGGAACUCCCUCCUCUUCUAUUUAUAUGCUUCUAUGUUGUUUGAUUUUUUUAAAUGAGCAAUUGCUAUUUUAUUAAUAUACAAAAAAUAAGAAAAGGCAAAAAUUGAACUCCAGAGUUCCCAUUGUGUGUCAGCAGGUCAAGGGCCCAACACAGUGUUCAUGAGGAUGCGAGUUCAAUCCCUGUCUUUACUC